rnacentral:rRNA from 1 species
UACGUAGGUGGCAAGCGUUACUCGGAAUCACUAGGCGUAAAGCGCAGGUAGGUGGCUAGAUAAGUUUCUUGUGAAAGCUCCCGGCUUAACUGGGAGAGGCCAAGGAAUACUGUUUGGCUUGAGUAUGGUAGGGGUAACUGGAAUUCCCGGUGUAGCGGUGAAAUGCGUAGAUAUCGGGAGGAAUACCUAUGGCGAAGGCGGCCCCCUGGUUGGAUACUGACGCUGAUA